CAAUAGCGGAGGGGAAACACCUGUUCCCAUUCCGAACACAGAAGUUAAGCCCUCCAGCGCCGAUGGUACUGCACUGGCAACGGUGCGGGAGAGUAGGUCGCUGCCGGAA
rnacentral:rRNA from 1 species